UACGGAGGGGGCUAGCGUUGUUCGGAAUUACUGGGCGUAAAGCGCACGUAGGCGGCUUUGUAAGUUAGAGGUGAAAGCCCGGGGCUCAACCCCGGAAUUGCCUUUAAGACUGCAUCGCUUGAACGUCGGAGAGGUGAGUGGAAUUCCGAGUGUAGAGGUGAAAUUCGUAGAUAUUCGGAAGAACACCAGUGGCGAAGGCGGCUCACUGGACGACUGUUGACGCUGAGGAGCGAAAGCGUGGGGAGCGAACAGG
rnacentral:rRNA from 1 species